rnacentral:rRNA from 1 species
UACGUAGGGGGCUAGCGUUGUCCGGAAUCAUUGGGCGUAAAGCGCGCGUAGGCGGCCCGGUAAGUCCGCUGUAAAAGUCAAAGGCUCAACCUUUGAAUGUCAGUGGAUACUGCCGGGCUAGAGUCCGGAAGAGGCGAGUGGAACUCCUGGUGUAGCGGUGGAAUGCGCAGAUAUCAGGAAGAACACCAAUGGCGAAGGCAGCACUCUGGGACGUGACUGACGCUGAGACGCGAAAGCGUGGGGAGCAAACAGG